UCAGUUACUCAGGAGGUGCCUGAAUGUGUGGGGGUGGGAGCGUGGGAGGGGGGCUGCCUCCUCUCUCUCCUCCUUUCUUCUCUUUCUCUCUCUCCCUCUCCGCUCACCUCCCCUCUCUUCUCCCGCUAUCCCUCUCUCAUUUCCUCUCUUUCUCUCUCUUCUCCCUCUCUCCUUCAGCCUCCUCCCCGCUCUGUCUUUCUCUCCCCCUCCCUCUCUUCUCUCCCCCUCCCUCUGCCCCCCUCCCUCUCUCUUCCCUCUCCCUCCAAGUCUGGCACUGAUCGCGAACUGUUUUGCUUUGCUCCGGGAAGAGUGCAGACACAUAACGUGAAAUCCCGAGCUUUUUGCGUGGUGCAUUUAAAAUGCUUCCUUAUUUAUAUUACCCUCCUUCCCUCACCUCUCCCACCCCCUCACCAGUCCUUCCAAAUUUCCCUAGAAAUCUGUGUAAAGCGUGCCGAGGGGAAAACAUUUGCACAAAAAGUGAAGGAGCUCGCCAAGGAGUUCCCGUUUGGGUAAGUAAUAUUAUGUCAUGUGCAUGCCGCAGACUGUGACUAUGAGCUAAGGCUUACUUUGUGCAUGCUCUGGGGUUCUUUUUUGGCUCUCUUUAACUCUCUCUAAAGAGGAGGGUGGGACUGAGUAGGGGGUGAGGGACAUAGCUGCGCGUGUGCAUAAUGAAUUUUGGGCUGCAUGCAAAGGAACUGAAAGGGGGAAUUCUUGCAGAACCGGGAAUCACCCUGACGAAUCUCUGAAUCAAUAGCUGCUGCAACUCGCUCUCUCUUUAUGGGUCGGCGCUGUGGAGCCCGGUUCUCUCGACUGCCCCCUCCCCUCCCCACUCUCUCUGUCUUAAA
rnacentral:lncRNA from 1 species